rnacentral:sRNA from 2 species
AUAUCUCUCUGUACGGGAAGGAUGAGAAGCUUCGACUAAGGUUCGAUUCGAGCGAAAGCGAGAA